rnacentral:rRNA from 1 species
GCCUACGGGGGGCAGCAGUGGGGAAUAUUGCACAAUGGGGGAAACCCUGAUGCAGCGACGCCGCGUGAGUGAAGAAGUAUCUCGGUACGUAAAGCUCUAUCAGCAGGGAAGAAAAUGACGGUACCUGACUAAGAAGCCCCGGCUAACUACGUGCCAGCAGCCGCGGUAAUACGUAGGGGGCAAGCGUUAUCCGGAUUUACUGGGUGUAAAGGGAGCGUAGGCGGUUAAACAAGUUAUAUGUUAAAUAUAUAGGCUUAACCUGUAGAAAGCAUAUAAAACUGUUUAACUAGAGUGCAGGAGAGGCA